rnacentral:rRNA from 1 species
UACGAGGACCCCGAGCGUUAUCCGGAAUUACUGGGCGUAAAACGUGAGCAUCCGGUCAUGCUAGUCCAAUGUUAAAUCUCAUUGCUCAACGAUGAGACCGCGUUGGAAACGGCACGACUAGAGCGGGUAAGAGGCAGACGGAACGUGCAGUGUAGGGGUGAAAUCCAUUGAUAUUGCACGGAACACCAAAAGCGAAAGCAGUCUGCUAGUGCUCUGCUGACGGUCAAUCACUAAAGCGUGGGGAUCAAAAAGG